rnacentral:lncRNA from 1 species
GUGAAAAGAAUUUCCUGGCCUGGGGAAAGAAGGAAGAGAAAGAGAUCUGUAGGUCCUGGGAGCAGAGAGGACCUCUAUGCUCCUUUCGGCAAUGCCCUGAAUAUGAUCAGUAAUAGUAACAACAAUGACAAUAGCAACAGCAAUGAUAAUGAGAGCAGCUGACUGCUACUGAACACUGACUAUAUGAAAAUCUGAAGCUUAGGAAAUGGAAGAACAUCUGCCGGAGGUCACACAGAUAUGGCACGUUCAUGAUGUGAAUCCAAGUGAUGCCGAAGUCAGCCUUCUUAAUCAUUCACAAUUCUGCCCCUCUUCAGUGAGGCCUCCAAGACCAGCUGCCUGGGGAACUCAGGCAGAGAAAGCUAUCUGCAGCCAGAUGUGGGUCCUUCUAGUUGUGGCAUGUGGGAUGCCACCUCAGCAUGGCUUGAUGAGUGGUACCAUGUCUGCGCCCAGGAUCCGAACCGGUGAAACCCUGGGCCACCGAAGCAGAGCGCGCGGACCCAACCACUCAGCCACGGGGCCGGCCCCCACAAACCUUGAUUUUAAAGUCUCAGUUCCUUUAAAAUUUUGGACAUGAACCCACCUGAACAACAACUACCAAAACUCCUCCAACUGGCUUCCAUUGCUGAACAGAUAC